UACAGAGGUGGCAAGCGUUGUUCGGAAUUACUGGGCGUAAAGGGCGCGUAGGCGGUCUUGUCAGUCCCUUGUGAAAUCCCCGGGCUCAACCUGGGAAUGGCGAUGGAUACUGGCGAGCUAGAGUGUGUCAGAGGAUGGUGGAAUUCCCGGUGUAGCGGUGAAAUGCGUAGAGAUCGGGAGGAACAUCAGUGGCGAAGGCGGCCAUCUGGGACGGUACUGACGCUGAGACGCGAAAGCGUGGGGAGCGAACAGG
rnacentral:rRNA from 1 species